UUGGAGGGCAAGUCUGGUGCCAGCAGCCGCGGUAAUUCCAGCUCCAAUAGCGUAUAUUAAAGUUGUUGCAGUUAAAAAGCUCGUAGUUGAAUUUCGGGAUCAGUAGGUUGGUCAUGCCUAUGGUAUGUACUGGCUUUACUGGUUCCUCCUUCUUGAUGAUCUGUAAUGUCAUUAAUUUGGUGUUGCAGGGAGUCAGGACUGUUACUUUGAAAAAAUUAGAGUGUUUAAAGCAGGC
rnacentral:rRNA from 1 species